rnacentral:rRNA from 1 species
ACGGCUACCUUGUUACGACUUCACCCCAGUCGCUGGCUUCACCUUCGGCGGCUCCCUCCUUACGGUCAGGUCACCGACUUCGGGUGCUUCCAACUCCCAUGGUGUGACGGGCGGUGUGUACAAGGCCCGGGAACGUAUUCACCGCGACAUUCUGAUUCGCGAUUACUAGCGAUUCCAGCUUCAUGCAGUCGAGUUGCAGACUGCAAUCCGAACUGGGACUGGGUUUUUGUGAUUUGCUUAACGUCGCCGUCUCGCUUCACUUUGUUGCCAGCCAUUGUAGCACGUGUGUAGCCCAAGACAUAAGGGGCAUGAUGAUUUGACGUCAUCCCCACCUUCCUCCGUGUUAUCCACGGCAGUCCCCCUAGAGUGCCCAACUUAAUGAUGGCUACUAAGGGUAAGGGUUGCGCUCGUUGCGGGACUUAACCCAACAUCUCACGACACGAGCUGACGACAACCAUGCACCACCUGUCUCCGAUGCCCCGAAGGGAAAGCAUAUCU